rnacentral:rRNA from 1 species
AUAAACGCUGGCGGCGUGCAUGAGACAUGCAAGUCGAACGGACGAUUCGGGCUUGCUCGAAUCGUUAGUGGCGGACGGCUGAGUAACGCGUAGGUGACCUGCCCCGAAGUGGGGAAUAACUGCCCGAAAGGGUGGCUAAUACCGCAUGUGGUCGCACGUUCAAUCGUGCGAGUAAAGCCGCAAGGCGCUUCGGGAGGGGCCUGCGUCCGAUUAGCUCGUUGGUGGGGUAAUGGCUCACCAAGGCGACGAUCGGUAGGUGGUCUGAGAGGACGAUCACCCAGACUGGGACUGAGACACGGCCCAGACUCCUACGGGAGGCAGCAGUCGGGAAUUUUGCUCAAUGGGCGAAAGCCUGAAGCAGCAACGCCGCGUGAGGGAUGAAGGCCUUCGGGUCGUAAACCUCUUUUGCCGGGGACGAUAAUGACGGUACCCGGUGAAUAAGCCACGGCUAACUACGU